ensembl:lncRNA
CUCAGAACUGUCGGUGAAAAUUAUUCUUGGAGCUAGGUUUAAUUGAGCUGCAUUUUAAAGAGGUGCAAUUUCACAAUUUGUGUAUAUUUUCUACGUUCACUAUUUUGUCAUGUGUUGAGAAAAACACAGAUUUAAAAAUUACAUGGUCUAAUAUUUACAUUUAGCAUAUAACUGCAACAUUCUUUUUUUCGUUUUUUUUUUAAAGACUCGAAAGGACUUGAAAUUCAAAAUUUCAGACUUGUGACUUUACUCGGACUUUUACACCAGUGACUUGAGACUCGACUCUGACUUGCCUGACAUUACUUGAGACUUGACUUGAGACUUGAGGAUAAAGACUUGAGACUUACUUGAGACUUACUUGAGACUUGCAAAACAAUGACUUGGUCCCACCUCUGAUA